ACACCCGAGGGAUCUGAAAGUUUUCACGAAAAAAAAAUCUAAUUAAAAAAUCUUGCGCCAAAUUUUCCCUCUAAUGAAAACUAAAUUCCCUCCUAUAAUUUUGGUGAAAAUCAGAUUUCCCACUAAAAACCCAUAAAAUUCGGCCACACCUCUUUAUUUUCUAAACCAAAAUAAAAACGAUUCUUUUUUCUCUAAACCAGUUUAUACAGAAAACAAAGAACACUUUCUCAUAACCCUAAAAAACGACUCCCGUUUCUCAAAAAACUGGUCACUCUGAGACCGUAUCUCAACUACACGAAUCACCUUCUUCCACCUUAAACAUAAUCUCGUCACUCUGAAAGCCCUAAUUUGGCGAACAUCAAAAGGUGUAGCCCUAAUUUACCGUUUCUCGCUGAUUAAUCGAGAGGUUUCUGUUUUCGUUACUCUCCAAAGGGUUAUAGCAGGGUUUCUUUCAGAUGAUACAAUUUGAACAGGAGUGAAGCGGAUUAUUUGAAAGUGCAAUUUGCCGAAAGCGGGAUUGAGAUGCACCACCUACUUAUCAUGAAGAUCAUUUUUCUGACUGUGUAGAUGCAUUCUUUUGAAACUUAUGAUAAGUUCAUAAACCUUCACCGUGAAGGCAAGCUUAAUGGAGACCAAUCAAAUACAAUCUUCUGAUGCCAGCAGGUGUUGUUAGAACAAUCUCGGUGGUUCAACUAGACCAAGCAUUAGAAUAUGCAAGCUAAUGAGGAUAAGGAAUGGUUGUGAGUCGAAAUUCAGAAAUAAAGUUAAAUGGAAAAGGUUUCGUUAUACACCCCACGAUACAAAGGCAGAUUGUUUUGCAGAUAAACCCAAUGCGUUAAACGAGGGUGAGUUGAAGGAUCUUGUGAAAUUUUGGGUUAGUGAAGAGCAUCGGGUACUUUCCGAUGGCAAUGUCGAAGAGUAGAAACCGUUUUGUUUUUGUAAGGUAUUUUCCGAUGGCAAUGUCAAAGAGUAGAAGCCUCACACAGUGUGCAGCAAAAAUGUCAAAGAGUAGAAACCGUUUUGUUUUUGUAAGGUAUUUUCCGAUGGCAAUGUCAAAGAGUAGAAUCCUCACACAGUGUGCAGCAAAAACUAUUCGACGCAAGCUGAAGUGGAUACACAAGUUGGUGGUUACAGUCACCUUUCUCUUUGCAAUUUUAAAGUAUAUUUCUCAUAUUUGGAUUCGAUUGUUCAUGGUUGAGGUACAUUUCUCAUAUGUGUCUGUGUACAAGUACAACUAGUAGAGAGGAGUUAGUUAGGUCUAAAUUGAAGAAUAAAGUUUCUCUACUUUUAAGGUCAACUUUAAAGUCGGAGAUUCUGUAAGUUAAUUUGUUUCUUUUCUUAUGGUGAAGUAGGAUUUUUUAUAAUUUGUAACAUAAACUUCUUUUUUGUUAAUGAAAUCCGAAUUGUUUGUUUUAAUUCAA